AGGGACUGAUUUAGACCUGGGACACCAGGUGGGUGAUUCCCCUCUAAUCAGGGACUGAUUUAGACCUGGGACACCAGGUGGGUGAAUCCCCCUCUAAUCAGGGACUGAUUUAGACCUGGGACACCAGGUGGGUGAUUCCCCUCUAAUCAGGGACUGAUUUAGACCUGGGACACCAGGUGGGUGAAUCCCCCUCUAAUCAGGGACUGAUUUAGACCUGGGACACCAGGUGGGUGAUUCCCCUCUAAUCAGGGACUGAUUUAGACCUGGGACACCAGGUGGGUGAAUCCCCCUCUAAUCAGGGACUGAUUUAGACCUGGGACACCAGGUGGGUGAAUCCCCCUCUAAUCAGGGACUGAUUUAGACCUGGGACACCAGGUGGGUGAUUCCCCUCUAAUCAGGGACUGAUUUAGACCUGGGACACCAGGUGGGUGAAUCCCCCUCUAAUCAGGGACUGAUUUAGACCUGGGACACCAGGUGGGUGAAU